UACGUAGGGUGCGGGCGUGUCCGGAAUUAUUGGGCGUAAAGAGCUCGUAGGCGGUUUGUCGCGUCUGCCGUGAAAGUCCGGGGCUCAACUCCGGAUCUGCGGUGGGUACGGGCAGACUAGAGUGAUGUAGGGGAGACUGGAAUUCCUGGUGUAGCGGUGAAAUGCGCAGAUAUCAGGAGGAACACCGAUGGCGAAGGCAGGUCUCUGGGCAUUAACUGACGCUGAGGAGCGAAAGCAUGGGGAGCGAACAGG
rnacentral:rRNA from 1 species